GUCUACGGCCAUGCCACCCUGAACAAGCCCAUGUCUGAUCUCAGAAGCUAAGCAGGAUCGGGCCUAGCUAGUACUUAGGUGGGAGACCACCUAGGAAGACCAGGUGCUGCAGGCA
rnacentral:rRNA from 1 species